rnacentral:rRNA from 1 species
AUUGAACGCUGGCGGCAGGCCUAACACAUGCAAGUCGAACGAGUGGCGGACGGGUGAGUAAUGUCUGGGAAACUGCCUGAGGGAGGGGGAUAACUACUGGAAACGGUAGCUAAUACCGCAUACCAUCAGAUGUGCCCAGAUGGGAGUAGCUUGUUGGUGGGGUAACGGCUCACCAAGGCGAAGAUCCCUAGCUGGUCUGAGAGGAUGACCAGCCCCACUGGAACUAAGACACGGUCCCGACUCCUACGGGAGGCAGCAGUAGGGAGUAUUGCACAAUUGGCGCAAGCCUGCUACAGCCAUGCCGCGUGUAUUAAGAAGGCCUUCGGGUUGUAAAGUACUUUCAGCGGGGCGGCGUUACCCGCAGAAGAAGCACCGGCUAACUCCGUGCCAGCCGCCGCGGUAAUAC